AGCCGCGGUAAUUCCAGCUCUCAAAAUGCAUAGAAUUAUUGCUGCGGUUAAAAAGCUCGUAGUUGGAUCUGUGCCGACAGACUGGUCCAUCUUCGGAUGCGUACUGGUUAUUGUCGGCUUUCCUGCAGUUUUGCGGCUCAGUGCCUCUCACGGGGUGCAGUGUCCGUUGCUGCAAGUUUACUUUGAACAAAUCAGAGUGCUCUAAACAGGCGUUUCGCUUGAAUGUUCGUGCAUGGAAUAAUAGAAGAGGAUUUCGGUUCUAUUUUAUUGGUUUUAUAGACUGAGAUAAUGGUUAACAGAGACAAACGGGGGCAUUCGUAUUGCUACGUGAGAGGUGAAAUUCUUGGACCGUAGCAAGACGAACUACAGCGAAAGCAUUUGCCAAGAAUGUCUUCAUUAAUCAAGAACGAAAGUCAGAGGUUCGAAGGCGAUCAGAUACCGCCCUAGUUCAAACCGUAAA
rnacentral:rRNA from 1 species